CACACGCUGCGGACGUGGCAGCGUCUCGAAACUGGCAUCACUGAUUUGAACUUGAGGCCCUAUUGCUUUGUUUAUGCUGUGACCACGUGUGAUAUUGUUGGUGCAAUAAAGUGUUUCAUUAUAAGUUUGUAAUUAAUACGUUUAUUAUAAUUUCAAAAACUGUGAAACUUAAAAAAAAUGCUCUUGAUUGAGUGCUCAGCAGACAAUUCUCUUCUGGUUCUAGAAGAGGAUUACGCAAUUUGUGACGCGGCAACCAUGAAGCCGGGUGAUAUGAUGAUGAACAGAAACUGAAAUGUGAAUUGAGAAAAAUCCAGGCCUCGAUAAAUAUAAAAACACCGGCAAAUUCAUCACCAAAUAUCCUAAUGACUUCAAAUGGUAAUAAAAGAUUGAGAAAAAAACACGGAUUUAUUCGUCGUCAAAUAACUUGGGAAAUAAGCAAAAGAAAGCCGAAAUGGAUCCAGCCAAAAAAAAGAAACUACUCAUUUGUACACUGCAGAUAACUCGAGCCCAACACUAAAUUUGUCAAAUAGCCCACCUAAGAAUCUAUCAGAUAAGUCCAUUGGAAAAUGUUAUAGUGACAACUCCAUCCAGGUAUCAGUUAGAGACUUCUAUCUUCGAUGAAACACUCAAACGAAACUUUCCGCAGAAACAGCCAUCACGUCAAAUAUUAAAACAUAAUGGUGAAAAUUACGAAUCAGACGAUGACAAAUUUGAUGAUCUCGAUGAGGAUGAACAACUGCUUGGGCCAAAUUUUGGCAACGACUCAAUGGUGCACUUGCAAAAAAAUAUUUUCUGCAAAAAAAGGAUAUUGCAAUACGCCUUAUCGAAUUCGUCGCAAGCAACCCACAUUGCGCACAAGCUUCUUGAAGCAGUUUUUAAAAAAGAAGCCCUUCUUAAAUGUACCCUCACUGGUCAACCGGGCCGUGCGCAAGGGAAGGAGCGUCAACAGGAAGCAGUUGUACCUAUGCAUCGACGAGCAAAAAAUGCUAUUAUACAAUACUCCAAAACAAUUGCCGAAAAAAGGCAAUGGACGGUGAAUUCAACGGCUGACAUAAAGAAGUCGAUGGGUCAGAGAUUGGUCGAGAUAAAAUCUCAAGAACGAAAAAAUAGAGUAUAAUUACUGGUUACCUUACACAUAUCUAUUUUUUUUCUGUGAUUGUUUAAUUAUUAAGUAUUCAAAGUCACAAAAAGUACAAAUAUGUUAAGUAGAGAUUUACAUGAAGAAGACCUAUAGUGAUUUCAUUAUGUGAUAUGUGGAGCAAACUUGUUUCCGGGGGUAGGUGGUGACAGGCAUUGUCUCGUUGACAAUAUGACAUUGAGGACGCGUUUGUUUUUACCGUCGGUCGUUCGAAAGCUACUCGCAAUGAGGCUAAAUAACGAUGCAUUUCUGAACCAAUAUGUAACAGGUAAAGCUGGUAUUAUAAGAAUGACGUAGAUAGUUCAUUUCAUUAUCCCUAUACAUGCCGUACUUAUUUUUACCAAUUUUUAUUUAUGACUUCUACUGUACUUUUUCAUUUUGCGUUACUUUUACUUUUAGAAAAUUAUAAAACAUGAGAGGUUUGUUUAUGAUUCACCACAUUUUUUCUUUUCAUACAUAUUGUCCUAAUUUUUAUUAUAGUCGUAAAUGUUAUAAGUAAAAAAUGCUCUUUUUUAUAAACAAUUAUAUUAAUCGUAUGUCCGAGCCGAAAUUAUAUGUAAUAUUUUCAAACAAAUUAUAUUGCAUGAAAAUUUCCAUUAAUUUCAACACCUCUCUGUCGUUCAUACCACCGGUAGCAUAUUUUCAUUACAAUCAAUCGUAUAAAAUAACUUUUUACCGUUAUAAUUUAUUUCGAAAUAGUAAAAUUCAUUUAUUUUGGAACAAAAUUUUACACACAGUUCUCAGUUUAAACGAUAUUACAAUACAAAUUCUAGAAAAAUAACUAUGUUUCAAAAAACAAUUCGUAUAUAAAA